rnacentral:lncRNA from 1 species
CCACCAAUAAAUUCCUUUUUUAGUUAUUUUUUCCCUUUUUCUUUAUUUUCUGUCUCCUCUCCUUUUUUUCAUCUUCUCCCCUGGCAAUCAUCAUCGACACCACUGUCUAGCCAUCAUCUAUCACCCACAACAUCAAGUCACCAUUUUCGCAACCUAGCUUUGUCGACAAGCUCAACCGGCACCACCAAUCCCCCUAUUACUCAUUUUCAACCUCCUAAUCACCAUUUGCCUAAGCCCUUAUCCAAAUCAUAAGAACCUACACUAUCCCCUGUGAAAUCUACCAAACAUAAAAACACCAUAACAAUACCCUAAAUACCAACAACCAUAAACACAAGAGCACACCUAAUAACCAAAAAGAAAAAGAAGGGGUCUCAAAUCUAGCAAACCCAGAACAUGAAAGAAGCAAAACAAAAAAUGUCAUAAGAAAAAAUAUAAAAAGUGAGAAAAAGAAAGAUGAGAGAAGACGAAACUCCUUUCAGGUUCACGGUGGCUAUUUGGAUCGACGGUCUGAUGUCGAAGAAGACGUCAAACGAUCAUGGUAGCAACGCUUGCCGAUGAUGGUUCAACGGUAGCAGCAACGACAUAUAUAUUUGAGGGAGGUGAUGGCUAGGGUUUCUAAACUAGAAGAGAGAAGAUAAAGGAAGAAAGAAAGAAAGAAAAAUUAAAGAAAAAAGAACUAAAAAAAGGAAAUGGGAGUAUUAUGAUAAUUUAACAGUUAAGUGAUGAAUUUAAUCAAUUUAAUCCAUUUAAUUAACAGCGGUG